rnacentral:lncRNA from 1 species
UGCGGCAGUUCAGCCUGAUCUCACCAGCGCUGCCGGUGAGCACGCCAAUGUUGCUCAUGCGUCGAAUCGCGUCUGCGAAUUUGGUUCGGAACGUACCCGGCUCGGCAUUGUCUGAGACCAUCGGUUGUGUCUCCGGGUCGCUCUGCAGGUUCUGAUCCGACGUGAGAAGCCCCUUGUUGACCUGCAGGUUUUUGUAGUACUCCGAGUCUAGAUUGGUGGGCGUCGUCACGUCCAGGUCCACAAGGUUGUUGGGUUUGUCUGCGGGGCACUGCCUCUUCAGCGACUCGGCGUAGUCGGGAUCCAUAUUGGCGUCAGAGGGAGUGGUGAGGCGAUUUC